UCUAGAUAUACUGAAUUUCUCUCUACUGCUUUGUGACUGCUUCUUGUGCUUCCGUCUAAGUAACAGCUGAUGGAAAAGAAAGAUAACGUAGCGGCUUGUAUUGUGUUAUAAAAAUGUAAACAAAACCACCAGAAUACUCCUUUUUCAAGUUUAACAAGAUUUUUAUCAUGUCCGGUGUAAAGGCACGUGAAUAUAGAGCUUUGUGUUCUCGAAAUAAGCACUUUCAUAAAUGAUUGACCCAGUAUGUUGUGAUGUAAACCAUAGCUUGGAUACGGUCGGUGCGUUGUUUUUCCUCAUGACCGGCAAGGAUCUGUCGCUAACUCUACGAACCCGGAAGAAGCAAUCUUGAUUUUGCCCCAGAUAUCCGCUUCCUAGUCCGAGUUCCAAUAAUCUUAUCCUAUGCUGUAUUGCUCUCUCUUCAUACCACGGUGGAUUGCUACAUUUGUUUUUCCAUAGUAUAUCGAAUUGUAUUCUCUUUAUCCACGAAAUAAAACUUUCAACA